rnacentral:rRNA from 1 species
AGUGGACGCUGGCGGUAGGCCUAACACAUGCAAGUCGAACGGCAGCACAGUAAGAGCUUGCUCUUACGGGUGGCGAGUGGCGGACGGGUGAGGAAUACAUCGGAAUCUACUUUUUCGUGGGGGAUAACGUAGGGAAACUUACGCUAAUACCGCAUACGACCUACGGGUGAAAGCAGGGGAUCUUCGGACCUUGCGCGAUUGAAUGAGCCGAUGUCGGAUUAGCUAGUUGGCGGGGUAAAGGCCCACCAAGGCGACGAUCCGUAGCUGGUCUGAGAGGAUGAUCAGCCACACUGGAACUGAGACACGGUCCAGACUCCUACGGGAGGCAGCAGUGGGGAAUAUUGGACAAUAGGCGCAAGCCUGAUCCAGCCAUACCGCGUGGGUGAAGAAGGCCUUCGGGUUGUAAAGCCCUUUUGUUGGGAAAGAAAAGCAGCAGGUUAAUACCCCGCUGUUCUGACGGUACCCAAAGAAUAAGCACCGGCUAACUUCGUG